rnacentral:rRNA from 1 species
AUUGAACGCUGGCGGCAUGCCUUACACAUGCAAGUCGAACGGUAACGGGUCCUUCGGGAUGCCGACGAGUGGCGAACGGGUGAGUAAUAUAUCGGAACGUGCCCAGUAGUGGGGGAUAACUGCCCGAAAGAGCAGCUAAUACCGCAUACGACCUGAGGGUGAAAGGGGGGGAUCGCAAGACCUCUCGCUAUUGGAGCGGCCGAUAUCAGAUUAGCUAGUUGGUGGGGUAAAGGCCUACCAAGGCAACGAUCUGUAGUUGGUCUGAGAGGACGACCAGCCACACUGGGACUGAGACACGGCCCAGACUCCUACGGGAGGCAGCAGUGGGGAAUUUUAGACAAUGGGCGCAAGCCUGAUCCAGCAAUGCCGCGUGCAGGAAGAAGGCCUUCGGGUUGUAAACUGCUUUUGUCAGGGAAGAAAUCUUCUGGGCUAAUACCCCGGGAGGAUGACGGUACCUGAAGAAUAAGCACCGGCUAACUACGUGCCAGCCGCCGCGGUAA